GACGAACGCUGGCGGCGUGCCUAAUACAUGCAAGUUGAGCGCUGAAGGUUGGUACUUGUACCCACUGGAUGAGCAGCGAACGGGUGAGUAACGCGUGGGGAAUCUGCCUUUGAGCGGGGGACAACAUUUGUAAACGAAUGCUAAUACCGCAUAAAAACUUUAAACACAAGUUUUAAGUUUGAAAGAUGCAAUUGCAUCACUCAAAGAUGAUCCCGCGUUGUAUUAGCUAGUUGGUGAGGUAAAGGCUCACCAAGGCGAUGAUACAUAGCCGACCUGAGAGGGUGAUCGGCCACAUUGGGACUGAGACACGGCCCAAACUCCUACGGGAGGCAGCAGUAGGGAAUCUUCGGCAAUGGACGAAAGUCUGACCGAGCAACGCCGCGUGAGUGAAGAAGGUUUUCGGAUCGUAAAACUCUGUUGGUAGAGAAGAACGUUGGUGAGAGUGGAAAGCUCAUCAAGUGACGGUAACUACCCAGAAAGGGACGGCUAACUACGUG
rnacentral:rRNA from 1 species